rnacentral:rRNA from 1 species
GACGAACGCUGGCGGCGUGCUUAACACAUGCAAGUCGAACGGAAAGGCCCUGCUUUUGUGGGGUGCUCGAGUGGCGAACGGGUUAGUAACACGUGAGUAACCUGCCCUUGACUUUGGGAUAACUUCAGGAAACUGGGGCUAAUACCGGAUAGUAUCUCCUGCUGCAUGGUGGGGGUUGGAAAGUUUCGGCGGUUGGGUAUGGACUCGCGGCUUAUCAGCUUGUUGGUGGGGUAGUGGCUUACCAAGGCUUUGACGGGUAGCCGGCCUGAGAGGGUGACCGGCCACAUUGGGACUGAGAUACGGCCCAGACUCCUACGGGAGGCAGCAGUGGGGAAUAUUGCACAAUGGGCGGAAGCCUGAUGCAGCAAAGCAGCGUGCGGGAUGACGGCCUUCGGGUUGUAAACCGCUUUCGCCUGGGACGAAGCGUGAGUGACGGUAAUGGGUAAAGAAGCACCGGCUAACUACGUG